rnacentral:rRNA from 1 species
AGUGAACGCUGGCGGUAGGCCUAACACAUGCAAGUCGAACGGCAGCACAGGAGAGCUUGCUCUCUGGGUGGCGAGUGGCGGACGGGUGAGGAGUACAUCGGAAUCUACCUUUUCGUGGGGGAUAACGUAGGGAAACUUACGCUAAUACCGCAUACGACCUACGGGUGAAAGUGGGGGACCGCAAGGCCUCACGCGAUUAG